rnacentral:rRNA from 1 species
UACGGAGGGUGCAAGCGUUAUCCGGAUUCACUGGGUUUAAAGGGUGCGUAGGUGGGCUGGUAAGUCAGUGGUGAAAUCUCCAGGCUUAACUUGGAAACUGCCAUUGAUACUAUCAGUCUUGAAUACCGUGGAGGUCAGCGGAAUAUGUCAUGUAGCGGUGAAAUGCUUAGAUAUGACGCAGAACACCAAUUGCGAAGGCAGCUGGCUACACAUAUAUUGACACUGAGGCACGAAAGCGUGGGGAUCAAACAGG